UACGUAGGCAGCGAGCGUUGUUCGGAGUUACUGGGCGUAAAGGGUGUGUAGGCGGUUGCUUAAGUUUGGUGUGAAAUCUCCCGGCUCAACUGGGAGGGUGCGCCGAAUACUGAGUGACUAGAGUGCGGGAGAGGAAAGUGGAAUUCCUGGUGUAGCAGUGAAAUGCGUAGAUAUCAGGAGGAACACCGGUGGUGUAGACGGCUUUCUGGACCGUAACUGACGCUGAGACACGAAAGCGUGGGUAGCAAACAGG
rnacentral:rRNA from 1 species